rnacentral:rRNA from 1 species
UACGAAGGGGGCUAGCGUUGUUCGGAAUUACUGGGCGUAAAGCGCGCGCAGGCGGUCCUUUAAGUCAGGGGUGAAAGCCCAGAGCUCAACUCUGGAACUGCCUUUGAAACUAGAGGACUUGGGUACGGGAGAGGUGAGUGGAAUUCCGAGUGUAGAGGUGAAAUUCGUAGAUAUUCGGAAGAACACCAGUGGCGAAGGCGGCUCACUGGCCCGUUACCGACGCUCAGGCGCGACAGCGUGGGGAGGCAAACAGG